CCCCUCUCAGAAGCACACCUGGAGAGUUUCCAGUCCUCUACCAGUCUUGACUACAGGAGGGAGAGUCAGGCAGAGGCAUACCCAUUCCGGUCCUAGCUUGGGCAGUGGCUAGUGAGUGGAAGGCCAUCUGCUACAAGG